AACAGCCCAAGACGGCUAAUGAAAUUUCCUAUAAAUAAGAGGUCAAACACAGCAAAUCCCAUCUUCCAUUCAGUUCCGCUUUCUUGUUGUGCAAAUUAAAAAAAAAAACCUCAAGGGCUAGGGCUUGGUAAUUGUUUUUUUGCAAGAUGUUGGAGGUGGUGUUGAACGACCGUUUGGGAAAGAAAGUGAGAGUAAAGUGCAACGACGACGACACCAUCGGCGACCUCAAGAAGCUCGUGGCGGCACAGACCGGUACCCGGGCUGAGAAGAUCCGGAUCCAGAAGUGGUACACCAUUUACAAAGACCAUAUUACCCUCAGGGAUUACGAGAUUCAUGAUGGCAUGGGCCUCGAGCUCUACUACAACUAAAACAAACAUGUACUGCCAAUGAGUAUGGCAAGGCAUUGUUGAAGAUGUAGCUGCCCCCUACUUCGCUAGUAAUUUCCUACUCUUUGCGAUAAGCAUGAUGCUCUGUGAUUGAUGCACAUAUGCUCUUAUGAAAUAUGUAAAGAUUGCGAUGACUAGACCUGGUCAUGGCAAUGUUAACUUGCAGUAUGUUCUGUUUGUGGUACAUCAAGCUCAAUUAUCUGUGAAGUGGUUGUUUUAUAACUCGGAUUCUUGUGAUUCCAACACUUAAUAGUUAACUUGAGUGGAUGAAAAACUGGUCGAUUUAAAAAACAACUUUGCUUAUUUGCUUAUGGCUUAUUUGUGCUUUACCUGGCUGUCAGUAUGAAAAGCUUUUGUGUUCUCUACUC